rnacentral:rRNA from 1 species
AUCCAGACUCCUACGGGAGGCAGCAGUGGGGAAUAUUGCACAAUGGGGGAAACCCUGAUGCAGCGACGCCGCGUGAGUGAAGAAGUAAUUCGUUAUGUAAAGCUCUAUCAGCAGGGAAGAAAAUGACGGUACCUGAGUAAGAAGCCCCGGCUAACUACGUGCCAGCAGCCGCGGUAAUACGUAGGGGGCAAGCGUUAUCCGGAUUUACUGGGUGUAAAGGGAGCGUAGACGGCAGUGCAAGUCUGGAGUGAAAGGCGGGGGCUCAACCCCCGGACUGCUCUGGAACUACGUGGCUAGAGUGCAGGAGGGGCAGGCGGAAUUCCUGGCGUAGCGGUGAAAUGCGUAGAUAUCAGGAGGAACACCGGUGGCGAAGGCGGCCUGCUGGACUGCAACUGACGUUGAGGCCCGAAAGCGUGGGGAGCAAACAGGAUUAGAUACCCGAGUAA